AGAGUUCAGUAUUUGCUCCUCCAGAAGUUGCUGGGAGCAGUCCCUGAGGUACAUAAAAUAAAGUCUCAUGCUGGGAUACCACCAAGCUCUUAACACAGGGUGAACCAGAGACUGUGAUCUGUGGGCCUCCAGCCACAGGAAAGAGUGACAUGCAAGGCUGGCCAGACGGAGUCACGCAGAUAUCUGCAGACUGGACAGAUGCCAGCUCCUCUUCUCUACUCUGCUCCAGGGGGGCUGGAAGGCAGGCUAUGCCCAGUCAAACAUGAAUCUGGAGAAUUCCUCUCAGGAAGCGGCCUCUGAGGAGGACCUGAGGAGCUUGGCAAUAGGGAUUCUACCAGUGACCUGGGGCUUCUGAUGGCCUCUUAGAAAGCCUUUAGGCCAGCUGGUCCACAGGCAUUUCCUGGGAAGCCAGAGGGGAGCUGGGAUGCCAAGCUGGACGAGGUGUCUUCAGAAAAUAAAGCCACCCAAGGUGGAUGAAGGAAGAUGCUGGAGGCCUAGCCCCUAACACCCACUCAGAGUUUGGGAGAUGAGCUCAUAUGGGCUCAUGCUCCUCCGGAAGUUGUCCCCAAGGUGAGCUGGGGAACCUGGAGGAAGGCAGGCAAGAGAGGGAAAGCGACCCAAGGGCACCCACACAACUCCCAGGCUGACUGCACUACCAAGCACCCUGUCGGUGCAGGGGCGGCCCGUCUCCUCGCCCACUCCCUGGAAGCCUCUCGUGCCGCCCCCACCGCCGGUUUGGGGGGCGCUCACCU